GAUGAACGCUGGCGGCGUGCCUAAUACAUGCAAGUCGAGCGAACAGACCAGGAGCUUGCUCCUCUGACGUUAUCGGCGGACGGGUGAGUCACACGUGGAUAACCUACCUAUAAGACUGGGAUAACUUCGGGAAACCAGAGCUACUACCGGAUGAUAUAUUGAACCUGAUGGUUCAAUAGUUAAAUACGCUUUUGCUGUCGCUUAUAGACUGAUCAGCGCCGCAUUAGCUAGUUGGUAAGGUAACGGCUUACCAAGGCGAGGAGGCGUAGCCGACCUGAGAGGGAGAUCGGACACACUGGAAGUGAGACAGGGUCCAGACUCCGGCGGUGGGACGCAGUAGGGAAUCUUCCGCGAUGGGCGAAAGGCGAAUGGAGGAACGCCGCGGGAGUGAUGAAGGAGCUCGGAUCGUAAAACUCUGUAAGUAGGAGAGAAGAAAUGUGUAAUUACCCGUGCACAUCAUGACGGUACCGGAAGAGAAAGCCACGGCUAACUACGUG
rnacentral:rRNA from 1 species